rnacentral:other from 1 species
AGUUAGUCGCGUAGGGUACAGAGGUAAGAUGUUCUAUCUUUCAGACCUUUUACUUCACGUAAUCGGAUUUGGCUGAAUAUUUUAGCCCCCCCCCCCCCCCCCCCCCCCGCCGGGGGGGG